UACGGAGGGUGCAAGCGUUAUCCGGAUUCACUGGGUUUAAAGGGUGGCGUAGGAGGGCAGGUAAGUCAGUGGUGAAAUCCCCGAGCUUAACUUGGGAACUGCCGUUGAUACUAUCUGUCUUGAAUACCGUGGAGGUGAGCGGAAUAUGUCAUGGUAGCGGUGAAAUGCUUAGAUAUGACAUAGAACACCAAUUGCGAAGGCAGCUCGCUACACGAAUAUUGACUCUGAGGCACGAAAGCGUGGGGAUCAAACAGG
rnacentral:rRNA from 1 species